AACGCACAUUGCGCCCUUGGGCUAUUCCUAGGGGCAUGCCUGUCCGAGCGUCAUAAACAACCCUCAGGCCCAUGGCUUGGUGUUGGCCCCACCCACGGUCUUGUUGGUGGGCCCUAAAUCCAGCUGGCAGUGGGCUUGGCCCCAAACGUAGCAGAGAUUAUCUGCGUUGUGGGUGUCAAGUACAUAGUCAACUCAGCACUUUCCUUGAAUUGACCUCGGAUCAGGUAGGAUUACCCGCUGAACUUAA
rnacentral:misc_RNA from 1 species